rnacentral:tRNA from 1 species
GCCUGGGUGGCUCAGUCGGCUAAGCGUCUGACUUCGGCUCAGGUCAUGCUCUCACCGUUCGUGAGUUCAAGCCCCGCAUCAGGCU